GAGAGGAGAUAGUAAGAAAAAUUUGCCACCUGUCCAUGUCAACAGUGAUUCUCUGACAAAAUUAGAAGCGUGAUAUGGUAUUGUUACCUAUUUCUGGAUGCCAAGUGGCAACUGUCACCUUAAGAACAGGGCAGGGCAGUUAAUUAGCAGGGUCUACAUUAAGAAAAGCUGAAAAGCAGAGUAGAACAGUUUUUCUUUGUGUGUUCAUGGAGCAAAAGGGUUUCCACUAUAUUCCUUUUGAGGUUAGAAAUUUAGUAAUUUAUUCUUAGAAGUAAAACCUUUAAACUCAGAAGUGAAGCAAUCUUCUAGCAAGUACUAAUAUUUUAGGGGGUUGCUGAAAUUACAGAGCUUUUUGUGUGUGUCUAAUGGAAAUUAAAAGUUUGUCUUAAGGGCUUUAUAGACGAAAGCUUUGCUACAUCUCAUUUUAGCAUGGUGUAAGCUUGCUACUACCACCAACUCAAAGUCCAGGAACUAUGUAGGCAAUGGGCUCUGCUACCACUGUUAGUAGAAGAGAAAGAAGUGUCCUUAUCUUUUGUUGCCAUUAAUUGUAAAAUUAAUGUUUCUUAGCAAAAAAAGUAGAUCAUUGAAGCUUGACCUUUAGCUGCCCUGUACGUUAAAUCUGGCAGAAAGCCACCAUUUUCUAUUGUAAGUUUUUAUCUCUACAACUAAUGCAGCCUAAAUUAAGUAUUUAGUUAUUAAAAGGGAAGCCAUCUAUAGUUAAACCAUCAUGGCUCUAGACUGUAAUUGACAUCGCUGUUAUAACACUUCACACUUCUCCUCCUGCCAGUCCCUUUAAAAGGAAUCAGUAUUCUCAGUGUUACCUAAUCAAUAAAUCUUUUUUUGUUAAAACAGCAUGAUAUGCAGCGUGACAUGCAGCAUGAUAAAGACCUUCAAAAGUCUAGCUGCCAUCAGUCAUGCUGCAGUGUCUGAAAUAGUCUUGAAACACGUAACAGAAAUGAGUUUGGACUUGCGUGUAGGUACCUGAGUAGAAAGGAAAUAGUCCAGUGGCCUCACUAACAUUACAGAGAAAACUACAUGUGGACCUAGGAAUCCUAGGAGAAGUGCAAGAUAUGUGCCAAGAAGCAGUAGUCGUCUCCAAACAGGCAUAAAGUGUAUUACUUAGGGAAAGUCAGUGCAGCUGAAAGAGUUAAAUUUGUUUGUAUUUCAGCUUUUAUAAAGGAGAUGGAAGGUGAUCAAAUAAAUUGAUCUGUGAUCUUAAUACUGACUCCAGUGGUUUGACAAUGUCUUGAAUAAGCAGAAAAGCAAAUUAUUUGCUGACCCUCUUGAAGAGAGCACUUCCAAAAUAAUGGAGGGGAACGUGCCACUGUUUGCUUUGUCUGCACAACAGCUGUUCUGCAAACAGAGGGCUUUAAGUAAUCACAGUUCAGCAUGACUGAUAAGCCUAAAAUUCACUUUAAUUUUUAAACACAGAAUAAUCUUUUCCAUUUUGCUCAAAUGUAUGUAUUUAGCUAGAUAAAUUUGCAUGAUUUUUCCAGGAUAAGGAUAGUGCCAGGUUUUCAUAACAAGAAAAAUAUUCAAGGACAUAUAGUAGCCUCUAUACCUACAUAAAACUGUAACAUUGGCUAAGAUCAUACAUGAGAAACAGCAGCUUCAGCACUGUCAGAAAGCUCCUUGGAUCAAGGUGUUGUUCCAGAAUUCAGAAAUGUUCUAUCAAAUUACCACACUCAAGAGUUAAGAGUGAUGAAUAAUUAACAAUGUUCUAAUUAUAGCAUCUCAGGCAUAUUAGAUACACAGAUGUUGAACUGGCUCAGUUCAUGGAAAAAAAAACCACAACUGGCCAAGCACUAUCAUCAGUGUAGAAGAAAACAGGAAUUACUGCAUGAAUCCUGCAUGCCCACCUGCUCUACGCUAAUCUGUGUUCAGCAAAAACUGCUGCUUAAAGAAGCUUUCAUGUGCACAGUUACAAUAGAAAUAAAUCAUUCCAGAGAAAAUCUUCUCUUACUCUCAAAUAAUUGGAGGUUAUCUUAUCCCCUUUUAAAGGGUUUUAACCCUGCUUUAGCAGGUAUGCUUCUUCAGGGGACCUUUUAAAAACUGCAUUAUUAUUACUGCUUUGCUUAUUUUUGUCUUCGUUUUCUGCCUCUUGCUAAAUUCCUGACUCUGUAACACACUUCACGAUGCAUGCCCUGGGAACAUUGUGAUUCAUAUGAAAAUAACAUUUUGUAAUUUUACAGUUCUUCUAUUUCUGAUGACUUUUUUUUAUUUAAUUGAAUCGUACUUGGUUUCUCUGAGAAAGGAUCAACACAUUUUCCAUUCAUAUUCUUGCAUGAAUUCAAGCAAACUCUUUCAGUGAAGAUACUUUAGACUUAACAGAGAACAAGGGAAAACUUUGUAUAGUGUUGAUAUAUUUCAAUUAUAGCAAUUUGGAAAAGAUUCCAGGAAUUCCAUACUCAGUGCAACACUGGUGUAUUUUUUUGUUCCUGGUUUCUUGGGGGGGUGUUGUUUUUUUUUUUUAUGAAUCUUACACCCAGUCUUGAAGUUAUUUCAUCUAAAGAAUGAAAAUCAAAAUAAAUCACCAACAGUAUCUUCACCGGCCUGCUUCCAGCUCCUUCUUGGAAUGGCAUCUUUCCAGAAUCCCUCAGCUGAACUGUUAAUCAGAGAAACCAGCAGCCACAUAACAGCCCAUAGUAACUCUAAAUACAGAACUGGGGCCUGGGGCAGCCAGUGAACACGAGUGGUUCUGGUCAGUACUGCAGGAUGCGUAAGAGGUGUUGCUGUGAUUAUCUGAAUUGAUACCCGGUCAGGAGAUCAGAGGUAAUAUUAGGUUAUUUCACAAAGUGCCAUGGGAUUUCAGAGUGAUCAGCAGUGACAGGGCUAUAAAAUAAGCAUGUAACUGGAAUGUGAAUAUAAAACAUGGUGAGCAUUCAGACAAGCCCUGUAUCUAUCCUAGGUGCUCCUCCCUCUAAGGUAGGCUUAACCCAGUGCUGCUUAGCUUUUAUGAAUCACAACUUAGUCUGAUACAGUCUGUAGUUUAUGGCUUUACAACCCAUAAAUACUACAAUAUCUUUUGUCAUCUUCACUCUCUACAUCAACUCCACAGUUAUGGAUUGUAAACAUUUAGUUCCUGAGAAUAACAUCAGAAUGCUGAUAUCUGCAUUUCUUUCAUUGUAGCCAUACAGACUAAACAAGUUUUACUUCACAAUUUACUGUAUAGCCUGAGGCACUUAACACUUGCAGGCUUUGACUAUUUCCUACUCCUUUACUGAGAGCGACUAAGAUCCUUCAAAGCUGAAAGCUAUAUAGACAACCAUCAAAAAGCUAGGUUCAUAGCAAACAGCCAUGGAUGAAGAAAUGCAUUGACACUGACAGGGGUAUCUUUUUCUCAGAACAUAGUCAAGAUAUGGAUAACAUUUGAUUUCUACUUGACAUGAGCAUUACAAUCUCCAAGUAAUUCUUAUCUAAGUCUUUUCCCAAAGGUACUAGGGGCAUGCAACCAUGAUUUAAAUACCCACAUGAAUGAACAUGGGAGGGCUGGCUUCACAUGCACACAGUUUCCCUUUACAAGGUUUCAUAGGACACUAUAAUGUGUUCAUAACUGAACAUUUGUUGCUUAUCCCACACCUCUCAUCUUUUAAAGACUUUUCUGAUAAUUUUUAAAACUAAAAUCAGGCAUUGCACGAUUGUUCAUGUUCUUUACUGACAUCAGUCAGCUGAAAUCAAUGAACCCCAUUACUUCAGAGCUGUGCUUCACGGAGCUUUCCACCAGUAUGUGUCAAAGCUAACUGCAUGGAGGCCAAAUUAUCUUCUUUUUCCAGACUGGCAAACACAGAUACAGGGAGAGGAAGUGACCAUGGCCACAGAACUAGAAACCAAAUUGCAAUUCACCUGACUCCACUAUAGCUUGUCUCCAUCAGAAGAAGGAAAUCUUCAAAGAAAGAAAGGAAGAGAUAGGGAAAGAGACUAGAGAAACACAAGAGGAAAAGCUGUAAAAAGACAUGUAAAAACCAUGAAGCAGGUAUGAAACCAUAUAAAGUACGAAAACAGGAGCAACAGAAAAAGAAGGAUAUGGAAAGCAGAAAAGAGAUUAAAAGGAAAAGGCAUGAACUGAACUGCUGCUAAAAACAAUGCAAAGACUUGGUUGACUUCAUCAUUGGAGCUUCCCUUCCACAUGAUGUGAAGGAAAGGGACAAGGAUGAAAAGAUUAAGGGAACGAGAGAGGAAGGAGUGACCACGUGUCAACCACCAGUGACACAUUCUCUGCAACUAAUGAUUUUUAAAACGGUGUGAUUUUGGUACACGGUUGAAUGGAGGCAUUGAAGAUGGGAUAAUCAUUCUUGACUUCUCCAUGCAGUAGGAACUGUUGAACGGCCACAGACCACAGUAUUAAUGACACUUUAACUGUGACUCAGCCACUCUUCCAGCGGAAGGGUUCUGGAAUAUGUAUUAGGAAGUAAUACAGUCCAGGAAUACUCAAAGGGCUGCAGAAGCUGGGCCAGGAUUCCUUGAAGGCUCCUGAAUCAAUAUGUGUACAGGGUCAUGCUAAGCCUCUUCCAACAUUUUCAAGGUCUCAUGGAAAAGCUAAUCAUAGCCUGUCAUGAAAUAUCCAAAAUGUUUGUGACUGUUCUGUUGACUCAGUAUUACCAGCUUCCCU